UCAACUGACGCUAAUGCUCGAAAGUGCGGGUAUCGAACAGGAUUAGAUACCCUGGUAGUCCGCACGGUAAACGAUGGAUGCCCGCUGUUGGCGAUAUAGUGUCAGCGGCCAAGCGAAAGCGUUAAGCAUCCCACCUGGGGAGUACGCCGGCAACGGUGAAACUCAAAGGAAUUGACGGGGGCCCGCACAAGCGGAGGAACAUGUGGUUUAAUUCGAUGAUACGCGAGGAACCUUACCCGGGCUUGAACUGCAGGAGAACGAUUCAGAGAUGAUGAGGUCCUUCGGGACUCCUGUGGAGGUGCUGCAUGGUUGUCGUCAGCUCGUGCCGUGAGGUGUCGGCUUAAGUGCCAUAACGAGCGCAACCCCUUCCGUCAGUUGCCAUCACUUUGGGUGGGCACUCUGGCGGUACUGCCACCGUAAGGUGUGAGGAAGGUGGGGAUGACGUCAAAUCAGCACGGCCUUUACGUCCGGGGCUACACACGUGUUACAAUGGGUGGUACAGAGAGUCGGCCGCAUGCAAAUUCGGUCUAAUCAUGAAAGCCAUCCUCAGUUCGGAUUGGGGUCUGCAACCCGACCCCAUGAAGCUGGAUUCGCUAGUAA
rnacentral:rRNA from 1 species